rnacentral:ncRNA from 2 species
AGCAGUUAGAUUCUCCGAGCUUGAAGACCUAAGGCUGAAAAGCUAAGGCUCUCAAGCCGCAAGGGUAAGGCGCGAAAGCGCUUUGCCUCUCGAUUCUCCGGAUUUUAGUCCGGAGGUCACUUGGAAAGGAGAAGCGGGGUUCGUGCU